rnacentral:rRNA from 1 species
UACGGAGGGUGCAAGCGUUAUCCGGAUUCACUGGGUUUAAAGGGUGCGUAGGUGGGUCUGUAAGUCCGUGGUGAAAUCUCCAAGCUUAACUUGGAAACUGCCAUGGAUACUAUAGGUCUUGAAUACCGUGGAGGUGAGCGGAAUAUGUCAUGUAGCGGUGAAAUGCUUAGAUAUGACAUAGAACACCAAUUGCGAAGGCAGCUCACUACACGAAUAUUGACACUGAGGCACGAAAAGCGUGGGGAUCAAACAGG